CACACAUCUGUGCUGACAGGUGUGGGAUAUUUAAAUUAUUCAUACUUUUCAUUAUUAUAAUUAAUUGUGGGUUGAACAUCUUGGUAGUCAACCCUCCACAUAGCUACAGGCAUGGCAAUUUCCUUUGGAUGGGAACUUCUUAGAAGUCUAACUGUUGAGGUUUGCAUCCUAUGUCAAGCUCUCCCAGACUGGGUGGUGCUGGCCAAAGGCGUGGGACUUCAUGCUGGGACAGCAUGUACUCUCUGGCCCAGUAGCAUCUUGGACGGUAAACAAAGAACUCAGACCUGAGCAAAGUCAGUGACCCACAGGGCUUGCUCAUAUCAACUACUAGUCACAUGGAUUGUGGACUUUAUUUUACUAUAAGUGAACAAGCCCUGGGGUGCCUGGGUGGCUCAGUCGGUUAAGCAUCCAACUCUUGAUUUCAGCUCAGGUUAUGAUCUCAGGGUCAUGAGAUGGAACCCUACACCAGGCUCCCUGCUAGGUGGGGAACCUGCUUAAGAUUCUCUCUCUCCUUCUCCCUCUGCUCCUCCCCCCAUCUCUUUCUCUCUCUCUUAAAAAAAAAAAAGAAAGAAAGAAAGAAAGAAAGAAAGAAAGAAAGAAAGAAAGAAAAAGAAAAACGUGAACAAGGCCUUCAGAUUCAUAGGCCAAGCUCUAACUGUUCUCUAUAGGAGCAGCCUCGAUGGAAAGUCCAUCUUUCUGAGCAGAGGUAGCCAGUUAACCUUCUGCUUCUUAACAUUUUUGCUCUUGGUAUCUUCAGAUGGUUUUGCUUUCAGAAAUGCAUCUGAGUUUUCUUGAGGAAACUGAGGCACUCAUCUUCUGGCCCCUUAUCUUGCUGAUCUAAAUGUAAACAGAGUCACUGUUAGGUGAGUCCGGGGGUUAAUGUCUUGUAUCCACUUGCUGCAGAGCUCAGAGGGUAGCUCAGGAUUAACACAUAAUUCCUGAAUGGAAGACACCCCUGAGAAGUUUCCUCCAACCCACCCCCCCCCCAACUCUACCCCCAUCAAGUUAGUUGUUAGUGCUCCUGUGAACUUUUGGAACAUGGAGGCUGGAAAUCAAAGGGAAGAAGCUUGGGGAGAUCCCAUGGCAUUGUGUCCCGUGCCUGGCUGUACCCUGCAAGAGAUUUUGUUCCCAGAAUUUCCUUUCAAUUCCAAGAGAAAGGAGUGAACAGAGAGAGGGGCGAGGGGCGGCAGGGGUGGGGGGAAGUGGGAGGCAGAGGAGGACGAUGCCAGCUUCCUGUCAGGCAGUUUCUGGCUGCUUUUUCUCUAGACCAUUAGUUUAUUGAUGGUGGGUUGUCUUUCCAGCAAAUCUCUUUUGAUUGCAAGUGUAUAAUGAAGGAGUGUUUUAGUGUCCUCCUAGCUCCAGGGAGACCUUGCUAGUUCCUUUCAUUCCCACUGAGGUAUCAGUGCUGAGGCUGAUUCAUCUAGAAUUUUAGAGCACCGUUCCAUCUUGAGGGCUUAUGACUACUAUGAGCCAUCAUAAAGGGAAUUCCGACGGUGCUGAGCUAAGUCUUGGAGAGCAGACGGGUUGCUCUUUGUCAAGCCAGGCACAGGAGACAGGUUGGCUGCUGUCCUGACCACAUGCCCAGGAGAACAGCAUUCACAUGGUGGUGUGGGCUGCUCACCUGAAUGGUGGCUUCUGUCUCUGGCCACAAAGCAUCUCCAGAUUCAGGAACUCAAGGCGCUUUCCACAUCACAGACCCUGCCUUGCCGGUCUGACCCUCAGGAGGGUGCUGGAAAGCCUUUGAAUCCUGUUCACUUUCCUGGUGGGAAACGAGAAGAGGUUCCUCUAUACUCUCAUAUGUCUAAUUUUAUUCUUAACCUUUCCACUGGACUGGGCUUCGCCGGGCCCCUCGACUAGAUUGUAACCCUCAUCCAUGUUCCUCUGAUGCCUCAACCCAGCCUAUGGGAAUUUUUUUUUUUUUUUGGCAGACCAGAAAAACCUCAUUCUCACAGAUCAGUGAGCAUAUUCUUCUCUGCCUAUUGUUUAGUCUGGGAUUUGGAUCCUUUUGAAACUCAAAGGAUACAGGCUCUUGAAACUCAGAAAGGCUUUUUUGCUCAAGAUAUGGUUCUUGCCUUGAGUUUCAAAGGCCUGUUUUGAACCUCAAAGGCCAAGCAGUGACUCUUUCUCUCUUUGAAUCCCUGCUAGGAAAAAAAAA
rnacentral:lncRNA from 1 species